GUGCCAGCCGCCGCGGUAAGACGAACCGUGCGAACGUUGUUCGGAAACACUGGGCUUAAAGGGCGCGUAGGCGGUUUCCCACGUCCGGGGUGAAAGCUUUCGGCUUAACCGGAAAAGGGCCUUGGAUACGGGGAAACUCGAGGGAGGUAGGGGCAGGUGGAACUUCCGGUGGAGCGGUGAAAUGCGUUGAUAUCGGAAGGAACGCCGGUGGCGAAAGCGACCUGCUGGACCUCUACUGACGCUGAGGCGCGAAAGCCAGGGGAGCAAACGGGAUUAGAUACCCCGGUAGUCCUGGCCCUAAACGAUGGGUACUAGGUAGUGGACUUAACAUGGGUUCCCUGCCGAAGCUAAAGUGGUAAGUACCCCGCCUGGGGAGUAUGGUCGCAAGGCUGAAACUCAAAGGAAUUGACGGGGGCUCACACAAGCGGUGGAGCAUGUGGCUUAAUUCGAGGCUACGCGAAGAACCUUAUCCUGGACUUGACAUGUGCGAAAGCGUC
rnacentral:rRNA from 1 species